AUUGAACGCUGGCGGCAGGCCUAACACAUGCAAGUCCGAGCGGAUGAGUGGAGCUUGCUCCAUGAUUCAGCGGCGGACGGGUGAGUAAUGCCUAGGAAUCUGCCUGGUAGUGGGGGACAACGUUUCGAAAGGAACGCUAAUACCGCAUACGUCCUACGGGAGAAAGCAGGGGACCUUCGGGCCUUGCGCUAUCAGAUGAGCCUAGGUCGGAUUAGCUAGUAGGUGAGGUAAUGGCUCACCUAGGCGACGAUCCGUAACUGGUCUGAGAGGAUGAUCAGUCACACUGGAACUGAGACACGGUCCAGACUCCUACGGGAGGCAGCAGUGGGGAAUAUUGGACAAUGGCGAAAGCCUGAUCCAGCCAUGCCGCGUGUGUGAAGAAGGUACUUCGGAUUGUAAAGCACUUUAAGUUGGGAGGAAGGGCA
rnacentral:rRNA from 1 species